CGCUCGUCUCGCACGCCGCGAUUAAAGCGUCUUCGAAAUAACAUUGUUUGAAACGGCUGGUGACGUCACGCGUCACAAACCUCAUGCGUUCGUGAUUCCUUCCUCUGCUCUUCUCCAUUUUUGCCACUGAAACGCCGGUCCUUACACAAAGGAGCCACUUUUUAUCGGCACGUAUGCUGUGUUUUCCGCGGGAUUUUCGCAAAAGUUUCUCGCCUGCAAGCCGGGAAUCGGCUUCACAAGGGCAUCAAUAUGGAUAAUCCAAGCCGAAAUGCAGCGUCAAGUCCUGCACGCAACCAUUUUGACGCUGCGGCCCUUUUAGGGGCCUGGUGGUCCUCUGCUGACCAAGGGGGCAUGACCCUAGCCAGCCUGCUGCGCCAGGGUACCUCCACCCCUAGCCUGGCCAGCAGCUCUAAGCUGGACCAUGCCCUGAGGCAGCCCCAACCACAGACCAGCUCCUCAUCACAGUCGCGCAGACGUAUGAAUGGCUCCCAAGCUAUUGGCAAAAUGCUACCUCCAUCAGCCCACAGCAGGUCGUCAAAACAUUUGGAUCUCCUUCAAGACAGCAUUCUUCUGAAUUCUGUGAAGGAGAAGCUUCUUCUGGGUUCCUCUGCCAAAGGUCCUCCUGUGUUGUCGCCCCCAUUCCUGGGGCAGGGUGCUGCGGAGUUGCUUGGGGCCAGCAAGGCGGGGGGAAGUAGCGCUGCCGAAGGGAUGCGGCCGGGCAUAACGCUGCCCCUGGGCAGUCUGGUGCGAGAGCGCAGCGGCCUGCAGGGGCGCCGCAGCCGCAGGGGCCGUCGUGAGUCCGGCCUGGCGUCGGCUGCUGCUGCCAAGCUGACAGACUGUCUCAUGCCGCCACAGCCUUCGUCAUCAUCCCCCUCGCCGUCGGUAGGAGUGGGCUCCCUUUCGAGCUCUCCUAGUCUGUUCCCAAGUCCUGCCCACUCCUCCCAGGCGUCUUCGAGCAGCGGUGGAGUCGGCAGAGGUCACUCCCCCGCGCCUCCCGCUCACUCGGGAGCUGGUAGCAGUGAGACCGCUGGACGAGGGGAUGGUGGUGCCAUGCCCCUGGAUCUGUGUGUCAAACGCAGUGCCUCCAGCGGUGGCACUGCAUACUUGUCCCCAGACGUUACUCUGACCCCUGUCUCUGCCCUGACCCCUGGUCCCCCUCUUCCUCCGCCUCCUCCACCUGCUGCGCAUCAGCGGCACAUUUUGGAAACCUUGCCGGCCAGCCUGGGCCCCAGCAAGGCUGGGCUGCCUCUCGGAACGCCCCUGGGAACGGCGUCGUCAUCGUCUUCGCGGCGGCGGGGCCGAAGGCCACGGAGCUCCCCAUUGCUGUCGGACCACGUGGCAUCUGCGAGGGACUGUAAUCCCAUGGGAUUGCUUCUUGGUGCUUUGGCUGCGCAGAAUGCAAAGCUGUCUUCAAGGCAACAAGAGUCAUUACAGAGGUUCCAGCUGCUCGCAUCCCAAGGUUAUAAGUCAAGAAAUAACAUCUUGUCAAAGUCAGGGUCCGAGGGUGUUCCUUCGGAGCUGUCGGCAGCAUCCUCCGGAGGUCGCCUGGGAUCACUGCCCCCACCACUCGGCGCACCCUCUCAGCCUCUGUCGCGUCCUCCGAGCCGCGAGCUGGUAUCACGUCAUGGGACGAAGCGCAGUUCUCCUGACGGUGAGGCCUCUUCGCACCGCUCCAAGCGACAGGAGGUUGAGCACAAUGCUUCCGUUAGUGUGGAUUCAUCUAGUGACUCGGAGUCUGCCGUAUGUGACUCCCGGUCUAUGAGCGGCACGUCCGACACGGAAGACACCGAGAAAUCUGCUGCGGCCAGCACAUCAAGUAGCAUUCAAGCUUCACUGUCUGAGAGGAUGUCCAAACGUCACACAGACGAGCAUGAAGGCACAACGAAGCGGAGACGGUGUUAUGUGACAAACGAACGGGAAGCCAGAAUACCAUUGAAACGAGGAUGGCAGAGGCAGACUAUAAUUAAUUCUUAUGGCAAGUCUGGUGUAAAAGGGGAGGUCAUCUACAUAGCUCCCUGUGGCAAGAAACUUAGAAGCUACCCCGAAGUGCUCAAGUACUUACAACAGAAUAACAUCACUGACAUCGGAAGAGAGAACUUCAGCUUCAGCUCCAGGAUGGUUGUUGGAACCUUCAUUGAGACCACCAAUGGGGGAGAAGACACCGAUGGCGGUCGGGUCAUCAGCGAAGAAGAAGUGGCCUUGCGGCUGCGCCUCCUGUGCGGGAUACACAGUGCAGUGCCGCCGCCCCUGGUGGCAACUCUACCUCCUUCCUCCUCGGUGGCAGCUGCCAAAGGUGGCUCACCCCUGCUGGGCCUGCCAGGCCUUGCUGGGAGCCCACUGGCCGCUGCCGUGGCUGCUGGUGCCACGAGCUCUGGGGGUUCUCGAAGGGGACGGCCACGCAGCCGCUCUUCCCCGAAUCCCCAGGAGCGUGCCCUGCAGGAGGCGGUCUUGAUGCAGCAGCAGCAUCAAGUUGAAGAAGCGAGGCGGCACCACGAACAAGUCAAGUUGAUCAAGCAGCAAGAACGCUUUGAACGCCUCGAGCAGCAGCGCAUCGAGAAGGAAAUGCGCACUCAGCAGACUAUUGAGAUCCGCCGCAAACGGAGGGAGGAUGUAGAGAGACAGCGCCAAGACGACGCUGUUCGCAGAGUCCAGGAAAGAGAAAUAAAAAGGCAACAAGCUUUAAUUCUACGAGAGCAGGAAAUGCAGAAGCGCCGUGAGAUGCUUCUGAUGGUUGACUUGGAACGGGAGAGGAGGAGACAGCACAUGCUGCUCGUUCGUGCCCUGGAAAACCGCAAGAAGAUGGAGGAUUCAAAGAAACUGGAUAUGCAUAUUUUGAAGGAGGUCAGGAGACCUGUCGAGGACAUGCUUCUGAAGGACGCUCUUCCUUUGCCAACGCUAAAUAGGAUACCUGGACUAAAGGUUCCGGGCACUGCAUUUGCCAAUCUUUUGAUGGUUCGAGAAUUUCUUCACAAUUUUGGUGAAACGCUGCAUUUUGAUGUGGACAAGAUUCCGAGCUUGAACACUCUCCAGCUGGGCCUGAUCAAUCACGACACCAAGUCGGAACAGCAGUUGCUCAAUGUAGUGCAGCACCUACUCACGUGUGCUAUUCACGACCCAGGAACACUGCCCUGCAAAGAGGCUGUUACCGUCCUUGGGCAGCACGUGAAGGAUGCCACAAUCACAAACGACACUGUAACGGAGGCCCUGCACCUGUACUUCAUGGCUCUCGACAAAGAAUGUGCCAUGUAUCAGUGGGUAACUGAAAAACCCUUUCUGGCUUUGAAUCCAACACAGAAAUCUGAAAUCAUGGCCUUUCUAUGCAAUGAGCUUCUAUGUAGCCGAGGAGUAGUCAGGCAAGUGGACGGUAGCAUAGAAACUGUGAUCACGUUAAGGAAAGACAAGUGGCUUGCGGAAGGUGAACUACGCAAGCUUAGGAGUACGCAACAGAGCAGGCAGCGGAAAGCCAUUCUAAAGCAGGAAUUGGAAAACAACGCCGCAGCAGCGAACGGCAGUAGCAGCUCCACUACCACCACCACCAACAGCGUGGCAACUGGCGAGGUGUGUGCAAACCAUGCCAGUGCUGCAAAUGGCUCUGCUGCUACGCCCACCAACAAGGACUCUGAGGAGAACAGUGUCAAGGGUGAGACUGCUAGCGAGGCUGGUGACAAGGCAAGCAAGAGUGGCCGGGACGAGGAAGAGGACAAUGAGGACCCUGCCAAUGACAGCGGCAAUGAAAGUGAUGACCCGCAGGAGGCCGACAAUGCUGAAGAGGAAGAGGACAGCGAGUUGAGUCUCACUAAUGAAGAGCUGGAGAAGAGGAUAGAGAAACUUUCAAAGCAACAGGCACAGUUCCAAAACAAGGUGGCCAAGGCGAGCAGCAGUAUUCGGGCUGUGAUGCUGGGCCAAGACCGCUUUCGACGGCGCUACUGGCUGUUGCCCAUAGCGGGGGGCAUUUUCGUGGAGGCCAUGGAGUCGUGCGAGCAGGACGGCAUGGGCGACUUUGUGGCCUCUGAUUACAUGGCUGACGAGGACGAUAGCAGUAGUGAGGACUGUUCAGUUGCCAAGGAGGGCACUUCUGCUCGAGGGGUCAAGGAGGAGAGGCAAGAUGAAGAGGAGAGCCCUGCUCUGUCAUCUGUGAAGCAGGAGCCCUGCGAUCCGAAAGAGGAGACAGAGGACGACGUUCCCCAGGUGGCCGCUUCAACAACUGGUGAAGUCAAGGACGAAGUUGAAAUGGCUGAAAAGACAGACUCCUCCAACAACACUGAGGAGCCCGAGAAGAAGCAGGAAGAAACCGAGGCACCCUUGAGCACCAACGAGAAAGGUCCGUCCGUUGCUACCAAAGAAGCUUCCUCUGUUGCGUCUGUGCCAACGUCAGCGGCAAACCUCUCUGCAGUGACGACGUCUGCGACCUCUGCCUCGGUGACCAAGGAGAAGAGCCCAUUGCCCGAGCCAACCCUAGAGCAGAGCUGGAUGAUGCAUUCGCCCUUUUUUGCGUCCAUCAUUGCGGGCAACAUGCUGUUCAACAGCAGCACGUUCCCAACGCCUGGUGCCGCCCCAUCUUCGUCGUCGCCAAGCUCGUCACCACAGGUGGGAGCAGCAAGCACGGUGGCCUUGGGAAAGGAUGGUGCCUCUCCGCUUUUCGGGGGCUUCACCACUCCCCUGUCGGCUGAGCAUAUGCUGAAGCACCUGGCCCAGAAGAAGCCGUGGUUUAGCCUCCUGCCACGAGUGCCCUGCGAUGAGGAAUCCCUGGCACGGCUGCCUGGCUCAAAGGACAUGGAUGACGAUGACAUCGAAGAAGAGGCAUCGUCCACCGUAGGCUCCACGAUGGGCAGCAGCCGAGUAGUAAGUGUGAUAGAAACCGAGGACACCACCAACCAGUACGACAAACCACAGCCUGUGCCUCCGGAGUACCUGCGAGGCUGGUGGCGUAUCACCGAUUCUGCCCAGCUUAGAACAUUGAUGGGCGCUUUGCACAGCAACGGAAUUCGUGAGAAGGCUCUUUUGAAACAACUGGAAAAGAACUUCAACUAUGGAACUGUCACCUGCAUACCAAACAGCCAACAAGAUGUUGGCCUCGAGAUCACAGACCUUGACCGGGACGUGUCCGAAAAGCAUGGCGGGGCGCCGCCUCCCGAUUACGAAGACCAAUGGUCCCCUGAUGUUGCCCUGCGGGUGGAUUUAGCCAUGUUGGCCCAGGUGGAGGCACUCGAGCAGAGGCUUUUUGGUGCCUGCAUGGAGGUCAAGCACUGGCGACCCCCACCAAAGGUAUCAGACGACCAAUCAAUACAGUACCGUCCAUCCUGCGUGCUGCUUAACAAGAAGCUGCUGGCGACGUCUGAUGACGAUGAUGAGGAAGAAUCCAGCGCAUCUCAGACAUCUGGUGCAUUGUCACCUGAUGAUGGCAAGGACAAAACAGAGGACGACACUGAGGGUGCCGAUGCUACUGAGGAGGCGAAUGGCAGUCAAGCAGACUGCCUGAUAUCACUAUCGAGGAUGCAGGUGCCAAGUUGCCGUCAUCGCUGGAUCACCAAGACGAUGCUACUGCAAGGUCUCCAGUCGCCAACGACAGCUCAAAGCAGCCCAGCUCUACUCCAGAGGACAACUAUGUGAAUCCCGUCCAAGUGGCAAAAGAACGGCUUCUGGGUGUUGAGGCAGGCAUUGAGAGGCGGUACCUUCGUCCGCCACUGGGGACUAGUGGGAGCAGCCUGCCACAGAUCGCCAAUGCCAGCAGCGGUGGCAGUAGCAGUGGUGGCAACAAAGCUGAAGAGGAGGUGGCCGGCAAAGGUCCAGGCGAGGAGGAUGAGGAGCCAGUGUUGCCCCCAGGGCUGGUGCGGUGGCGUGAGGCUGUGGCCGCAUGCCAGACAGCUGCUCAAUUGGCCAUGUGUUUCAGCCAGCUGGAGGCAUGCAUUGCCUGGGAUCGCUCCUUCAUGAAGGCGAGCUGUCAGUUUUGCCACAGU
rnacentral:misc_RNA from 1 species